AUUGAUUUCGUUUUGCUGCAAAUUAGAAGUCUUAGUGACAAAAAUCAUUUACAUUACUGGUAAGUGGCGAGGAGAAAAAGUCAACUCGCUCACUAGGAUGCCCAGACUGUUCCCUAACUCAAACUUUAAGGAACCCUUGUGGGCUAAAAUUCGUGGAAGGAGACCCUUACUUAAAAUAUUUAAGGUUUCAUUCAUUGACCAGAGUUAAACAAAGACAUCGUCGUCCCUUCCAGAAAGUUCUUCAACCUUUGUUAAAAAUACCCAUGCGGUGCGACCUUUCUCCAAAAACCUAAAUAAGUCUCCACAAUUUCUUUUGCAUAAUUCCAUCCCUGGGGUUGUCCACCUAAAACGUCGUGAACACAGGAAUAAAUUAGCUCCGAAGUUUAACAAUUUAUGUAAAAACUGUAUGUUUCAUUCAAAUUACUUUAAUUUAUAAUCUAAUUUCUGUAUUUCUAAAUUUUGAAUUUUACAAAAUUAAAUAAUACCUUUCAUAAGUUACAGUAGAUUCUUAACAAUUGAAAGCUCAAACACCGAUUUACGAACGAGAAUUGCUGUCACCAUUAAUUUGCAUAAAUUUAUAAUGCCUUUGACAUAAUGUAGGUCAUCCAUUUCUAUAAAUAUUCACGCCAAUUUUCGUGAACUGAGUAAAUUUUGUCUCGUAUGAAUUUAUCCUGCAACGUUUUACCAAGUUUAUAAACAAGUCUCGUCGUAUCUGCACUGCCGAGAUGCUAAACCCGCUCUCGUUCUUUGUUAUAAAAAGCGUGGCUUAAAACGCAUUUCCAUUUUCAGCCCGAGGUCUCUUUCUCACGGACAGAAAUGAUUUCGUUCAGUGCGAAGGAGGCGGCCGAGUUGAUGCCAUCUCCAAAUUUUGGCUGGAGGCAUGGCCAGCCGACAUUUUUUUAAUUUGUUAAUUUCGUCGACUAACUAACUGUGGGAGGAGGUGGAAGUUAACAUAGUUUGAGUUAAGGAUUUUGUCGUAGUGGGAGGAGGUGGAGACCUGAUGAGACGUGAAUUUAAGGAAGUUUAAAGAAAAUGAUUUGUAGACCAAGAUGGGAUGGGGGUGAUGAAGUUGGUGGAGGCGAGGACGUGAUUUUUAAUCGGCUUUGAGUUUAGAUUCUGGAGACGGGAUUCUGCAACUCAACAAACAUGACCCAGCCUUCACAUUCUGACUUGGCCAAAUUAGUCUUCUCAUUUGAUAUUAAUUAUUCACCUGAUCCUGCGACGACUGCCGGCAUGUGUCAUCUUAGCAUCAACUUUUUAAAAUUAUACGUCGUUAAUUUAAAUUUAGUUGCUUCUCCGAGUGUCGGUACCCAUACAACUCUUUACCAUUACAUAAUAUCGAAUAGUUCUCUUGAAUUAGCUUUUGAAAUAGUGUUCCCUUCUAAACGAUCUGAGUUUAAUUUAGAAAAUCUUUCAUCAAGGUAUUGAUGAAAUUAGUUAAUGCACUAGUUAUGUACUAGUACUAUGUUGUGAAACACGUUUUAAUCUUUGGUCCACAAAUGUCAAACAAUAUUUUUAGCUAAUCAAAUACGUUUUAUUCUUUGGUCCACAAAUGUCAAACAAUAUUUUAGAAGAGGAAACUUUCAUCAAAGGUAUCGAUGAAAAUAGUUAGAUCUACGAUUUAAUCUUUGGUCCACAAAUGUCAAACAAUAUUUUAAAAGAACUUCAUCAUGGUGUCGAUGAAAUAAUUUAAUUUAUACGAUUUAGUCUUUGGUCCACAAAUGUCAAACAAUAUUUUUUAAAAUCUUUCAUCAUUGUAUCGAUGAAAUUAUAACAUAAAUCGCAUGUAUACGAUUUAAUCUUUGGUCCACAAAUGUCAAACAAUAUUUUAGAAAAUAAGUCGUUUUCAUCGAAUGUAUUGAUGAAAAAUUAAGUCAUACGAUUUAAUCUUUGGUCCACAAAUGUCAAACAAUAUUUUAAUGUAAAAUUUCAUGACUGCUUCGAUAAAAUUAUCAUUUUAAUCGAACGUAUGCGAAUCAAAUGCUGUUAUUUUAUGAAAAUAAAUGAAAUUAUGGAUUGUUAAGAACAAAAACAU